rnacentral:rRNA from 1 species
UCGAGCGGCAGCGCGGGGGCAACCCUGGCGGCGAGCGGCGAACGGGUGAGUAAUGUAUCGGAACGUACCCAGUCGUGGGGGAUAACUAUCCGAAAGGAUAGCUAAUACCGCAUACGUCCUGAGGGAGAAAGCGGGGGACCGUAAGGCCUCGCGCGAUUGGAGCGGCCGAUAUCGGAUUAGCUAGUUGGUGAGGUAAAGGCUCACCAAGGCGACGAUCCGUAGCUGGUCUGAGAGGACGACCAGCCACACUGGAACUGAGACACGGUCCAGACUCCUACGGGAGGCAGCAGUGGGGAAUUUUGGACAAUGGGGGCAACCCUGAUCCAGCCAUUCCGCGUGAGUGAAGAAGGCCUUCGGGUUGUAAAGCUCUUUCAGCAGGAACGAAACGGUGGUCCUUAAUACGGGCUACUAAUGACGGUACCUGAAGAAGAAGCACCGGCUAACUACGUGCCAGCAGCCGCGGUAAUACGUAGGGUGCGAGCGUUAAUCGGAAUUACUGGGCGUAAAGCGUGCGCAGGCGGUUCUAUAAGACAGAUGUGAAAUCCCCGGGCUUAACCUGGGAACUGCGUUUGUGACUGUAGGACUCGAGUGUGGCAGAGGGGGGUGGAAUUCCACGUGUAGCAGUGAAAUGCGUAGAGAUGUGGAGGAACACCGAUGGCGAAGGCAGCCCCCUGGGUCAACACUGACGCUCAUGCACGAAAGCGUGGGGAGCAAACAGGAUUAGAUACCCUGGUAGUCCACGCCCUAAACGAUGCGAACUAGGUGUUGGGGAAGGAGACUUUCUUAGUACCGCAGCUAACGCGUGAAG